rnacentral:rRNA from 1 species
AAGAGGUUUUCGGUUUGAAAAACUCUGUUUUAAAAGAAGACCUUUUUGGAGGUUACUGUUCAGGUUUUGCCGGUAUUUACCCAGAAACCCCCGGUUAAUUACGUCCCACCACCCGCGGUAAUACGUAGGUGCCAAGCGUUGUCCGGAUUUAUUGGGCGUAAAGCGAGCGCAGGCGGUUUUUUAAGUCUGAUGUGAAAGCCUUCGGCUCAACCGAAGAAGUGCAUCGGAAACUGGGAAACUUGAGUGCAGAAGAGGACAGUGGAACUCCAUGUGUAGCGGUGAAAUGCGUAGAUAUAUGGAAGAACACCAGUGGCGAAGGCGGCUGUCUGGUCUGUAACUGACGCUGAGGCUCGAAAGUAUGGGUAGCAAACAGGAUUAGAUACCCUGGUAGUCCAUACCGUAAACGAUGAAUGCUAAGUGUUGGAGGGUUUCCGCCCUUCAGUGCUGCAGCUAACGCAUUAAGCAUUCCGCCUGGGGAGUACGGCCGCAAGGCUGAAACUCAAAGGAAUUGACGGGGGCCCGCACAAGCGGUGGAGCAUGUGGUUUAAUUCGAAGCUACGCGAAGAACCUUACCAGGUCUUGACAUACUAUGCAAAUCUAAGAGAUUAGACGUUCCCUUCGGGGACAUGGAUACAGGUGGUGCAUGGUUGUCGUCAGCUCGUGUCGUGAGAUGUUGGGUUAAGUCCCGCAACGAGCGCAACCCUUAUUAUCAGUUGCCAGCAUUAAGUUGGGCACUCUGGUGAGACUGCCGGUGACAAACCGGAGGAAGGUGGGGAUGACGUCAAAUCAUCAUGCCCCUUAUGACCUGGGCUACACACGUGCUACAAUGGAUGGUACAACGAGUUGCGAACUCGCGAGAGUAAGCUAAUCUCUUAAAGCCAUUCUCAGUUCGGAUUGUAGGCUGCAACUCGCCUACAUGAAGUCGGAAUCGCUAGUAAUCGCGGAUCAGCAUGCCGCGGUGAAUACGUUCCCGGGCCUUGUACACACCGCCCGUCACACCAUGAGAGUUUGUAACACCCAAAGUCGGUGGGGUAACCUUUUAGGAACCAGCCGCCUAAGGGACAGGGAUG